AGGAGGCGAAGGAGUACUUGUAGGUGGAUUUGACGAAGGUGGAGGUGGAGAACUGGAGGAAGGUGGUGUUGGGACAUUGACUGGAGGAGGUGAACUGGAGGAAGGUGUUGCUGGGACAUUGGCUGGAGGAGGUGAACUGGAGGAAGGUGUUGUUGGGACAUUGGCUGGAGGAGGUGGAGAAGGUGCCACGGCUUGAGGCGGGGGUUGGGCUGGAGAUGGAGGCGAGGGAUCGACUUCAGGAGGAGGAGGAGCAUCCAAUGGCGG
rnacentral:lncRNA from 1 species